rnacentral:lncRNA from 1 species
UCAAGUCAGUGUAUUAGAUGAGUAUAAUGAAGAUCUCUCAAACCAGUUGAGUAAGAAGUCAAUGGAAGGAUUAGAAGAGAAAGAAGAUUUGUAAUUAGAACUAGAAUCGGUGGAACCGACAUUCAAUAAUGCAGCAAAUGAUUAAUUGGAUGGGCCAGAAGAACUAGUAACUUUGUAGAGUUUUGUCAGAUAAUUUUUAGAUAGGUAUCAAUUGAAUGUUUGCGAGGAUGCUGCACAGAUAGGAGUGGGGCUAUGCAGAAUAGAUAUUAAUUUAUUUUUGAAAGAUAUUGAUAAAAUAUAUUAAUAGUCCAUAUAAUAGGAAAUUCAGGAAGAUGGAUGAAUGAUUUAAUUAUUAAAAGUGGUUAAUUACAGAAUUACGGUUAAAAUCUGGAGAAUCAGGGGAAAGUAUAUAGGAGUUCUAGAAGUUAAUUAAGGUGCCAUUGUUGUAAUAGUGUGAGCCGGGGUAAGCUUGGUGCUACCUCUUUUCUUUUGUUUGUUAUUUUCUUUGAAUAAGAAGAUUGAGAGUUUCUAAAUAUUGUGAAGUGAAUUAUGGAAUGGAAAUGUGAUUGGUAUUAUUUGAGAAGAAGAAAGAUUGAAUGCUAAAAUCUGAUUGUAGUUCAGUAGAGAGAAUGAGUCUGUGUUUGUGUGAAACAUUGUAAUGUAAAUGGUAGUUCUGUGUGAAGAAUUCCAGUGAUUGGAACGACGGUAAUUGUGUGCUGAAAGUUGUGAGGGCGUAAUAUUAUAGUUGGAGAUUAUGAGGGUGAAUAUAUUGGUGGAAAUAGCAGUUAUUGGUAUGAUUGAAUUGCUGUAAGGAAGAGACCGAUAAGGUGAAGGAGGAGAUUAUAGUUUCCUUGUAUGUUCAGAUAUUAGAAAUAGAGACGAGACAUUCAAGAUGUAAUUGAUUGUGUGACCCUAACGUGAACGCUUAAGCAACUAGUCAUUUCUCGUGUUCGAAUCUCCCUAUACGAG